GCCCAAGGUACACUAGCUCAGUCAGUAGAGCAAGAGACUCUUAAUCUCUGAGUUAUGGGUUCAAGCCCAUGUUGGGCA